rnacentral:rRNA from 1 species
UGGCGAACGGGUGAGUAACACGUGGGUGAUCUGCCCUGCACUUCGGGAUAAGCCUGGGAAACUGGGUCUAAUACCGGAUAGGAGCCAUUUUUAGUGUGAUGGUUGGAAAGUUUUUUCGGUGUAGGAUGAGCUCGCGGCCUAUCAGCUUGUUGGUGGGGUAAUGGCCUACCAAGGCGCGACGGGUAGCCGGCCUGAGAGGGUGUACGGCCACAUUGGGACUGAGAUACGGCCCAG